GGGGGGAAAUUAAUUAUUUUUAUUUAAUAAAAAAAUUUUUUAGUUUAUAGAGUUUAAGUAUUUUUAGGGGGAAAAUUUUAAAUUUUAUAGUAAAUUAGUAUUGUAAAAUAAUUUUUAAAUAUUUGAAAAAUAAUUUAAUUUAAAGUAAUUUUUAUUUAGUGUAUCUUGUGUAUCAGAGUUUAUUAAUUAAUGUUUUUUUAUAAAAAUUUCUCGAAUUAAAAAGAGUUAUUUAAUUAUAAAAUUUAUUGUAGUAUAAAUAUUUUUAAUAGUUAAAUUGUAAUGAAAUGUUAAUCGUUUUUUAAGAUAUCUAGUUUUUUUAGAAAAAAAUUUAAUUUUAAAUUUUAAAAAUUAUUUAAUUUUUUUUUUAAUUUUUUAUUUUAAUAUUUUAAUAUUUUAAGGGAUAAGCUUUAAAUUAAAUUUUUAUAAAAUUAUUUAUUUUUAAUUAAUAAUUUUAUAAUUUAUAUUGUUAAAUAAAUUUUAAUUUAUUAUAAAUAAUUUUAAUUAAAUAAAAAUUUUAAUAAAUUUUUAAUUUUUUAUAAAAAAAUAAUUUUUAAUAAAAUAUAUUUAGAUAAAAUGAUAAAAUUAGUAUAUAAUAUUGUAUAGUUAAAUUUAAUUUUUAUUUAAUUUAUUUAUAAAGAAUUCGGCAAAAAUUUAUAUUCACCUGUUUAUCAAAAACAUGUCUUUUUGUUAAUAAUUUAAAGUCUAAUCUGCCCACUGAUUUUAUAUUAAAGGGCUGCAGUAUUUUGACUGUACAAAGGUAGCAUAAUCAUUAGUCUCUUAAUUGGUGACUUGUAUGAAUGAUUGGAUGAAAUAUAAACUGUUUCAUAAAUAUUUAUAAAAUUUAAUUUUUUUAUUAAAAAGUAAAAAUAAUUAUAAAAGACGAGAAGACCCUAUAGAGUUUAAUAAAAUUAAGAUUUAAUAAUUUUUUAUUUUAUUAAAGUUAAAAGUUUUAGUUUUAUUUUGUUGGGGUGAUAAAAAAAUUAAAUAAACUUUUUUAUAAAAUUUUCAUUGAUAAUUGAAUAUUUGAUCCAAUUUUAUUGAUUAUAAGAAAAAGUUACCUUAGGGAUAACAGCGUAAUUUUUUUUUUUAGUUCAAAUAAAAAAAAAAGUUUGCGACCUCGAUGUUGGAUUAAGAUAAAAUUUAAAUGAAAAAGUUUAAAAUUUUGAUCUGUUCGAUCAUUAAAAUCUUACAUGAUCUGAGUUCAAACCGGUGUAAGCCAGGUUGGUUUCUAUCUUUAUACAGGAGAAAUAUUUUAGUACGAAAGGACCAAGUAUUUAAAAUAAUUUUUAUUGGGGAAAGAAUUUUAUUAAUUUUAUUUUAAAUUUAGUUAUUUAAUUUUUUUUAUUAUAUAUA
rnacentral:rRNA from 1 species